rnacentral:rRNA from 1 species
AUUGAACGCUAGCGGGAUGCCUUACACAUGCAAGUCGAACGCGUGGCGGACGGGUGAGUAAUAUAUCGGAACGUUCACUGUAGCGGGGGAUAACUUGUCGAAAGAGUGGCUAAUACCGCAUACUUCUGGAGCGGCCGAUAUUGGAUUAGUUAGUUGGUGGGUUAAAGGCUCACCAAGGCAAGGAUCCGUAGCUGGUUUGAGCGGAUGACCAGCCACACUGGGACUGAGACACGGCCCAGACUCCUACGGGAGGCAGCAGUGGGGAAUUUUGGACAAUGGGGGAAACCCUGAUCCAGCCAUCCCGCGUGUAUGAGAAGGCCCUCGGGUUGUAAAGUACUUUUGGCAGAGAAGCGGUAUCGGCAGAAUAAGCACCGGCUAACUACGUGCCAGCAGCCGCGGUAAUAC